rnacentral:rRNA from 2 species
UAUUAGCUAGAUGGUGGGGUAACGGCUCACCAUGGCAAUGAUACGUAGCCGACCUGAGAGGGUAAUCGGCCACAUUGGGACUGAGACACGGCCCAAACUCCUACGGGAGGCAGCAGUAGGGAAUCUUCCACAAUGGACGAAAGUCUGAUGGAGCAACGCCGCGUGAGUGAAGAAGGGUUUCGGCUCGUAAAACUCUGUUGUUAAAGAAGAACAUAUCUGAGAGUAACUGUUCAGGUAUUGACGGUAUUUAACCAGAAAGCCACGGCUAACUACGUGCCAGCAGCCGCGGUAAUACGUAGGUGGCAAGCGUUGUCCGGAUUUAUUGGGCGUAAAGCGAGCGCAGGCGGUUUUUUAAGUCUGAUGUGAAAGCCUUCGGCUCAACCGAAGAAGUGCAUCGGAAACUGGGAAACUUGAGUGCAGAAGAGGACAGUGGAACUCCAUGUGUAGCGGUGAAAUGCGUAGAUAUAUGGAAGAACACCAGUGGCGAAGGCGGCUGUCUGGUCUGUAACUGACGCUGAGGCUCGAAAGUAUGGGUAGCAAACAGGAUUAGAUACCCUGGUAGUCCAUACCGUAAACGAUGAAUGCUAAGUGUUGGAGGGUUUCCGCCCUUCAGUGCUGCAGCUAACGCAUUAAGCAUUCCGCCUGGGGAGUACGGCCGCAAGGCUGAAACUCAAAGGAAUUGACGGGGGCCCGCACAAGCGGUGGAGCAGGUGGUUUAAUUCGAAGCUACGCGAAGAACCUUUACCAGGUCUUGGACAUACUAUGCCAAUCU